AUGCAUCUGACGAGUCCCAAAUAGGACGAAAUACACAUUAGCCUGGAU
rnacentral:hammerhead_ribozyme from 1 species